rnacentral:rRNA from 1 species
AUUGAACGCUGGCGGCAUGCCUUACACAUGCAAGUCGAACGGUAACGCGGGGCAACCCGGCGACGAGUGGCGAACGGGUGAGUAAUGUAUCGGAACGUGCCCAGUUGUGGGGGAUAACUGCUCGAAAGAGCAGCUAAUACCGCAUACGACCUGAGGGUGAAAGCGGGGGAUCGCAAGACCUCGCGCAAUUGGAGCGGCCGAUAUCAGAUUAGGUAGUUGGUGGGGUAAAGGCUCACCAAGCCAACGAUCUGUAGCUGGUCUGAGAGGACGACCAGCCACACUGGGACUGAGACACGGCCCAGACUCCUACGGGAGGCAGCAGUGGGGAAUUUUGGACAAUGGACGCAUGUCUGAUCCAGCCAUGCCGCGUGCGGGAAGAAGGCCUUCGGGUUGUAAACCGCUUUUGUCAGGGAAGAAACGCUCUGGGUUAAUACCUCGGGGUAAUGACGGUACCUGAAGAAUAAGCACCGGCUAACUACGUGCCAGCCGCCGCCGUAACAC